rnacentral:rRNA from 1 species
UAGGGAAUCUUCGGCAAUGGACGGAAGUCUGACUGAGCAACGCCGCGUGAGUGAAGAAGGCUUUCGGUUCGUAAAGCUCUGUUGUUAGAGAAGAACGCUGGCAGGAGUGGAAAAUCCACCAAGUGACGGUAACUAACCAGAAAGGGACGGCUAACUACGUGCCAGCAGCCGCGGUAAUACGUAGGUCCCGAGCGUUGCCCGGACUUACUGGGCGUAAAGCGAGCGCAGGCGGUUCUUUAAGUCUGAAGUUAAAGGCAGUGGCUUAACCAUUGUACGCUUUGGAAACUGGGGGACUUGGGUGCAGAAAGAGAGAGUGGAAUUCCAUGUGUAACGGUGAAAUGCGUAGAUAUAUGGAGAAACACCGGUGGCGAGAGCGGCUCUCUGGUCUAAAACUGGCGCUGAGGCUCGAAAGCGUGGGGAGCAAACAGG